rnacentral:rRNA from 2 species
AACGAUGAGUGCUAAGUGUUAGAGGGUUCCGCCCUUUAGUGCUGCAGCUAACGCAUUAAGCACUCCGCCUGGGGAGUACGGUCGCAAGACUGAAACUCAAAGGAAUUGACGGGGGCCCGCACAAGCGGUGGAGCAUGUGGUUUAAUUUGAAGCAACGCGAAGAACCUUACCAGGUCUUGACAUCCUUUGACAACUCUAGAGAUAGAGCGUUCCCCUUCGGGGGACAGAGUGACAGGUGGUGCAUGGUUGUUGUCAGCUCGUGUCGUGAGAUGUUGGGUUAAGUCCCGCAACGAGCGCAACCCUUGAUUUUAGUUGCCAGCAUUUAGUUGGGCACUUUAAGGUGACUGCCGGUGACAAACCGGAGGAAGGUGGGGAUGACGUCAAAUCAUCAUGCCCCUUAUGACCUGGGCUACACACGUGCUACAAUGGAUGGUACAAAGGGGUGCAAGACCGCGAGGUCAAGCCAAUCCCAUAAAACCCUUUUCAGUUUGGAUUGUAGGGUGCAACUUGCCUACCUGAAGCUGGAAUCGCUUGUAAUCGCGGAUCAGCCUGCCGCGGUGAAUACGUUCCCGGGCCUUGUACACCCCCCCCGUCACCCCCCGAGAGUUUGUAACCCCCGAAG